rnacentral:lncRNA from 1 species
UAUCAAUGAUUUGGGUUUGGUUCUUGUAAAUGACGGGGCACAAGUUUUCGUCUCCGCCUAUCGAGGAGGGGGAUUCAAGUCUCGCAGUCAGAUUAUUGUACAGCAGUAGCCUUCUGUGUCUUGUCUUUACUUAUUUGCCUCUGCUAUCUCAAGGUUUUCAAAAUCGUAUCGGUAUGUACAGUUCGACUUGUGAACCACUUGUCAAAAGGAUUUGG